UACGAAGGGGGCUAGCGUUGCUCGGAAUCACUGGGCGUAAAGGGUGCGUAGGCGGGUCUUUAAGUCAGGGGUGAAAUCCCGGGGCUCAACCUCGGAACUGCCUUUGAUACUGCAAAUCUCGAGUCCGGAAGAGGUGAGUGGAAUUCCUAGUGUAGAGGUGAAAUUCGUAGAUAUUAGGAAGAACACCAGUGGCGAAGGCGGCUCACUGGUCCGGUGCUGACGCUGAGGUGCGAAAGCGUGGGGAGCAAACAGG
rnacentral:rRNA from 1 species